GCUGAGUAGGACGCAGUCCUCUGCUUGUGCAUUUCGCAGGCGUGGCCUCGCCGCUCCCCUUUUUCUUCAGUGCCACUUACACUCACCGCUACGAGCACCAACAUGAACAGGCAACUCAACGGCUUUCACGAGGCAUUCAUCGAGGAGGGCACGUUCCUCUUCACCUCAGAGUCUGUGGAGGAAGGCCACGCAGAUAAGAUCUGUGACCAGAUCAGCGAUGCUGUGCUUGAUGCCCACCUUCAGCAGGACCCUGAUGCCAAAGUGGCUUGUGAAACUGUUGCUAAAACUGGAAUGAUCCUUCUUGCUGGGGAAAUUACGUCCAGAGCUGCUGUUGACUACCAGAAAGUGGUUCGUGAAACCAUUAAACACAUUGGAUAUGAUGAUUCUUCCAAAGGGUUGGACUACAAGACAUGUAAUGUGCUGGUAGCCUUGGAGCAACAGUCACCAGAUAUUGCUCAAGGUGUUAAUCUUGACCGGAACGAGGAAGACAUUGGUGCAGGGGACCAGGGUUUGAUGUUUGGUUAUGCCACUGAUGAAACUGAGGAACGUAUGCCUUUAACUAUUGUCUUAGCACACAAGCUCAAUGCAAAACCGGCCGAACUAUGCCACGAUGGCACUUUGCCUUGGUUAUGCCCAGAUUCUAAACCUCAAGUGACUGUGCAGUGCAUGCAGGAUCGAGGUGCUGUGCUUCCCAUCAGAGUCCACACAAUUGUUAUAUCUGUUCAGCACGAUGAAGAGGUUUGUCUUGAUGAGAUGAGGGAUGCCCUAAAGGAGAAAGUCAUCAAAGCAGUUGUCCCUGCAAAAUAUCUUGAUGAGGAUACAAUCUAUUGUCUACAGCCAAGUGGCAGAUUUGUUAUUGGUGGGCCUCAGGGUGAUGCUGGUUUGACUGGCCGGAGAAUCAUUGUGGACACUUGUGGCGGUUGGGGAGCUCAUGGAGGAGGUGCCUUUUCAGGAAAAGCUUAUACCAAGGUGGACAGUUCAGCGGCUUAUGCUGCUCAUUAGGUGGCAAAGUCCCUUGUUAAAGGAGGUCUGUGCAGAAGGGUUCUUGUUCAGGUCUCUUAUGCUAUUGGAGUUUCUCAUCCAUUGUCUAUCUCCAUUUUCUAUUAUGGCACCUCUCAGAAGAGUGAGAGAGAGCUAUUAGAGAUUGUGAAGAAGUAUUUUGACCUCCGCCCUGGGGCCAUUGUCAGGGAUCUGGAUCUGAAGAAGCCAAUUUAUCAGAGGACGGCAGCCUAUGGCCACUUUGGUAGGGACAGCUUCCCAUGGGAAGUGCCCCAAAAGCCUAAAUAUUGAAAGUGUUAGCCUUUUUUCCCCAGACUUGUUGGCGUAGGCUACAGAGAAGCCUUCAAGCUCUGAGGGAAAGGGCCCUUUUUCCUAAAUUUUCCUGUCCUCUUUCGGCUCCUGAUCAGUUGCAGUCACUCCUAGUUCAAUGACAUGAAUUUUAGCUUGUGUGGGGGACUGUAAGUUGGGCUUGCUAUUCUGUCCCUAGGUGUUUUGUUCACCAUUAUAAUGAAUUAAGUGAGCAUAGGUGAUCCAUGUAACUGCCUAGAAACAAACCAACAACACUGUAGUAAAUAAUGCUUUUUGAAAUUGAAAAAAAAAAGAGAAAGGGAAGCGUAUUGUAGAUGUAGCAUAUUCUGAGUGAUGAGUUUAUGGAUGAUAAUUUCAGCAUCAUACGUCAUAAGUAUACAUGGUACAUACAUGGUAUAUAUACCAUGCUUAUGUGCAUGGGACAGACAUUUAUCUUUAAAUAUAAAUUAAAAAUGAAAGAAAGGCAGAAGAAUGAAGGUUACCUUAUUUAACAUUAUUGAGGUUUAUUUAUUUGUAACUCAAUAAAGUUCUCCUGAGCAAAUUCCACGUGUAGGCAUUGAUGUAGAUGCCAGAGAUCUAGGGAUGAGAGGAGGCAGACGUUUCCUGGAAGCUUGUAUUUUGCCGGAAAGAGAGAGGAAGAGAAACUUUUUCUUCUGCAGGGUUCAGUGGUUUGAGAAUGAUUCAGGAGAUCCGUUCUGAAGAUGAAGCUCAGACACACACGGAACUGAGAGAUACCGCAGUACCAGGUGCCAUGGUUUAAACCUGUAAGCCAAUUUGUACCUGACUUCACUCAAAUUGCUGGACUUUUGUUCCUGUGACCCAGCAAGUUCCCCUGUGGCAGUGGUGUUCUUGAAGCAGGCUUGAGUUGGGUUUUCUGGCAUCUGUAGCACAAUGAAUGCUAACAGACACAACCCUGGGGGGUUACUCAUUGAGCGAAUUGCGGGGGCAGGGUUGGCACCAGGAACUCUGAAGCUAUUUGUUUAUCAGUUUACUUUCUAAUGGGCAGCGAGUUUCAACGUUUUCAAGGGCUUUCAUAUGCAUUGUCUCUUCUGACUCUUAAAUCUACCUUGUAGCAGAAAAGCAAGAGGUGAAGGGACUUGUAUAUAGCUGGAUAGAUAGUAGGGGUCCUUGGGACUUGAACACAGACCUCUGGGCUCCAGGUCCUGUGUGUUUUCUGUUAGAACAUGGGGGAUAAAACAGUCAAGUUAACUGACAUAAAAUUUCCACAGGAUUGGUCAGUUUGCACGAGCAUCUCACUGAGAUAGUGUUAGGGGGAUGCUUGCCAUCGUUCUAUUUUAUUUCAUUUAUUUUUAAUUAUUAUUAGUUUUUUAGUAAUC